AUUGAACGCUGGCGGCAGGCCUAACACAUGCAAGUCGAACGAGUGGCGGACGGGUGAGUAAUGUCUGGGAAACUGCCUGAUGGAGGGGGAUAACGACUGGAAACGGUAGCUAAUGCCGCAUACCAUGGGAUCGGCCCAGAUGGAAUUAGCUAGUAGGUGGGGUAAAGGAGAACCUAGGCGACGAUCCCCAGCUGGUCUGAGAGGAUGACCAGCCACACUGGAACUGAGACACGGCCCAGACUCCUACGGGAGGCAGCAGUGGGGAAUAUUGCACAAUGGGCGCAAGCCUGAUGCAGCCAUGCCGCGUGUAUGAAGAAGGCCUUCGGGUUGUAAAGUACUUUCAGCGGGGAGGCGUUACCCGCAGAAGAAGCACCGGCUAACUCCGUGCCAGCAGCCGCGGUAAUAC
rnacentral:rRNA from 1 species